rnacentral:rRNA from 1 species
GAUAAACGCUGGCGGCGCACAUAAGACAUGCAAGUUGAACGGACUUAAUCGAAAUAUUUAUAUUUUGAAGCGGUUAGUGGCGGACUGGUGAGUAACGCGUAAGGAACCUGCCUAUUAGAGGGGAAUAACAGUGAGAAAUCAUUGCUAAUACCGCAUAUGCCAUAGAUAUCACAUGAUAACAGUGGGAAAGGAGCAAUCCGCUAAUAGAUGGCCUUGCGUCUGAUUAGAUAGUUGGUGGGGUAACGGCCUACCAAGUCGACGAUCAGUAGCCGGACUGAGAGGUUGAACGGCCACAUUGGGACUGAGAUACAGCCCAGACUCCUACGGGAGGCAGCAGUCGGGAAUAUUGCGCAAUGGAGGAAACUCUGACGCAGUGACGCCGCGUAUAGGAAGAAGGUUUUCGGAUUGUAAACUAUUGUCGUUAGGGAAGAGAAAGGACAGUACCUAAGGAGGAAGCUCCGGCUAACUACGUG